rnacentral:rRNA from 1 species
UGGGGGAUGACGGCCUUCGGGUUGUAAACCUCUUUCGCCAGGGACGAAGCGUGAGUGACGGUACCUGGAUAGGAAGCACCGGCCAACUACGUGCCAGCAGCCGCGGUAAUACGUAGGGUGCGAGCGUUGUCCGGAAUUAUUGGGCGUAAAGAGCUCGUAGGCGGUCUGUCGCGUCGGUCGUGAAAACUUGGGGCUUAACCCUGAGCUUGCGGUCGAUACGGGCAUGACUGGAGUUCGGCAGGGGAGACUGGAAUUCCUGGUGUAGCGGUGAAAUGCGCAGGUAUCAGGAGGAACACCGGUGGCGAAGGCGGGUCUCUGGGCCGAUACUGACGCUGAGGAGCGAAAGCGUGGGGAGCGAACAGGAUUAGAUACCCUGGUAGUCCACGCCGUAAACGGUGGGCGCUAGGUGUGGGGGCCAUUCCACGGUCUCUGUGCCGCAGCUAACGCAUUAAGCGCCCCGCCUGGGGAGUACGGCCGCAAGGCUA